rnacentral:siRNA from 1 species
AGAAGAAGGUGUCAUAUGUCGU